rnacentral:rRNA from 1 species
UACGGGGGGGGCAAGCGUUGUUCGGAAUUACUGGGCGUAAAGGGUCUGUAGGUGGCCAACUAAGUCAGACGUGAAAUCCCUCAGCUUAACUGGGGAACUGCGUCUGAGACUGGAUGGCUUGAGUGCAGGAGAGGAACGCGGAAUUCCAGGUGUAGCGGUGAAAUGCGUAGAUAUCGAGAGGAACACCUGCGGCGAAGGCGGGUUGCUGGGCUGACACUGACGCUGAUGUGCGAAAGCUAGGGGAGCGAACGGG